GUCGACUCUUCAGCUGUGCGCUUCGGCUGCACGCUGAUAAAAUUCACACACCUGGUGCACAUUUCGGUCGCGUCCUGCAUGCAGGUUUGCUUCCGCUUAACAUACAACCACACGUCUUGAAUGUAACAAACUAUAAAGUAACAACUUUCAACAACGGAUCUCUUGGCUCUCGCAUCGAUGAAGAACGCAGCGAAAUGCGAUAAGUAAUGUGAAUUGCAGAAUUCAGUGAAUCAUCGAAUCUUUGAACGCAUCUUGCGCUCCUUGGUAUUCCGAGGAGCAUGCCUGUUUCAGUGUCACGUAAACCCUCACACUUGUGAUGUUACAGUUACAAGUUGUGGAUUUGGACUGUGCUGUAGUCAGCUCGUCCUGAAAUGCAUUAGCUUGCGCUUAUUAGAGUGCUUGGCAUUGGUGUGAUAAUUAUCUGCGCCGUCGCCUUAUGCCUCUUCGGGAGUGCUGCUUCUAAUCGUCCGCAUGGACAACAUUUUAAACUUUGGCCUGAAAUCAGGUAGGACUACCCGCUGAACUUAAGCAUAUCAAUAAGCGGAGGAAAAGAAACUAACAAGGAUUCCCCUAGUAACGGCGAGUGAAGCGGGAAAAGCUCAAAUUUAAAAUCUGGCGGUCUUUGGCUGUCCGAGUUGUAAUCUAGA
rnacentral:rRNA from 1 species